rnacentral:lncRNA from 1 species
GCAGCAAAUAUUGACAAUAUGGUCAUAAUUAACCAAUAUCAUCAGAAUAUAAAAUUUCAAGGGAAAUAACUGUGACUCCCAAGGGAGGUAAUAUACAUUUGAUAUGAGGAAUUUUGAGACAAUUUUCAAAUUUAUAAUCCAUUGUGCCUGAGUGAUUUGAUCAUUGUUGUACAGUUUCUAUUGCACCUUUCUUAAGCUUGAAUGAUUAGCAAUGUACUUUCAAAUUUCCCAAAAUAAAUGCAAUGUUUUAUAGCAGUACAAUAUGAACUACAUGAACAUUUGGUGUUGAUGUGAGGUAACAAUAUGCAGUGACAAUUUUAAAAUUAAACCUUUUGAAUUCAUCAAACAUCUAACUACCUAGUUAAGGUUGAACCUAUGUCCAAAUAAAAAAA